UAAAACGCCGUUAAAUACGGCGUCAUUGACGUAUUUUCGCGCGUUUUUUUUUUACGGCGUUUGUAAUCACAACGGCGUAUUUUGAGGCGCAAAUACUGUUUAAAACGCCGUAUUUGACGGCGUUUGACUGUAAACGCAAUUAAUCUAUAGUGUAAUUCUGACCCUUUUAGCUUGCCAUAAUAAGGUGCACGAGCACCAGGCGCGUUCUCUACGAGUCGUCCUAACAGUAUCUAUGCCUCUAAUAAUGUAGUUGUAUUACUGACGGACACACAUAAUCUUCAGAAACAUUGACAACAAUUUCCCUGUUCUUGCUCAGCUUCAUCAGUUUAUGCCUCGCUCUUCUUAGCUCUGCUGCCGCCAUGUUUAAAACUAUGUUAGGAAAUAGCAAAUGUAACAUAUUGUUAAAUUUGAAUUAUCAUUUUGCUCCGAACAUUGCACAUAUGGUAUGGAAAAUGUAAAUUCAAAUACAAAAAUGCAUUGCCAUUUUACAUAUUGCAUUACCAUUUUGCAUAUCACAAUUCAAAUUGAAAUUUGCUACACAUAUGCUUCCAGCAUAGUGAAGCCUCUCAUCCAUUGACAUCCAUUCAAAAACGCGGCAUCUGGUCUCCUUCCCUGCGUACCGCCAGAGCAGUCGCCAUUCUGUUGUGAUAAUGAAUCGUCCGGAGCGUCCAUAGGCAGCAGACUGUUCAGCAGAGGGCCACCAUCCAAACUGAGCUGACCAGAUCAUUUCCAUCUGGGUUUUUCAGUAAAGGACGGGGUAAAAGGCGAAUGCUGUCACUGACCCCUAGUAAACCCGCAAAAAUAUUGCCUGUUAAUUUUUACUUGCUGCCUCACCAAUAUGAGCGAACGCCUAAGGAGAGUGAGCAACUGGUACACAUGCAAGCUGGGUUGGGACGAAAGACAAUGCAUAUGGAUGAAAAUGCAACAUAUGAGGAAGUAUGUGCCCAGCUGAAGGAGCUCUACCCCAAAUUUCAAGAAAUAAAAGGGGGUUGGCCUGUCUAUAAAUCUUCAGGAGGAUGGGGCUCCCGGAAGCUCGUUCUUAUUUCACCCGAUGAGAGUGGGUACAGUGCCAAGCAUUUGAAGACAGCAACACAAGGUUUUAAAGGAGUUAUUUACAUAGCUCCUCUUCAAAUGACGAGGCUGAACAGACCAAACAACCUUCAACCUCUGGAAUUAUGUAAGAGCCUUCUACAUCUGGAUUUUCUGUGCCAGUGACACAUACUGGUGAUGAUUCAAAUGCAGCUGAAGCCACAAGCAUGAGUUCUGAUGCUGCUUCCCUGUAUCUGCUGGCCCUCUGUUAGCAGUGUGGAUGAUGACGACGAUGAAGAUUGUUCGCUAGAAGAUAGAUGUCGCAUCUCAGGGUAUUUGCGUCACUUCAUUGAGACUGGUAUAAAUCUUUAAAUCUUUGCACUAUUGAGCCUUCAGAUCAUCUGUAUAUUGUUGGAUCGACUGUUUCUCAUCUUUCUCUUGAAAAUAUCCCAUAGAUUCAGGUCAGGCAUAUUGGCUGGCCAAUAAAGCACAGUAAUAUCAUGGUCAGCAAACCACUUGGAAGUGGUUUUUGCACUGUGGGCAGGUGCUAAAGUCCUGCUGGAAAAGGAAAUCAGCAUCUCCAUAAAGCUUGUCAGCAGAUGGAAGCAUAAAGUGCUCCAAAAUCUCCUGGAAGAUGGCUGCAUUGACUUUGCACUUGAUAAAACACAAUGGACCAACACCAGCAGACGUCACGGCCCCCCCAAAUCAUUAUUGACUUCAGAAACUUCACACUAGACUUCAAGCAGCUUGGAUUCUGUGCCUCUCCAGUCUUCCUUCAGACUCUGGGACCAUGAUUUCAACAUGAAAUGCAAAAUUUACUUUUAUCUGAAAAGAGGACUUUUGACCACUGUUCACUGUCCAGUUCUUUUUCUCCUUAGCCCCGGUAAGAUGCUUCUGACGUUGUCUCUGGUUCAGAAGUGGCUUGGUAGUCCUUUUCCUGAAGAUGUCUGAGUGUGGUGACUCUUGAUGCGCUGACUCCGGCUUCAUUCUACUCAUUGUGAAGCUCUCCCAAGUGUUUGAAUCGGCUUUACUUGACAGUAUUCUCAAGCUUGCGGUCAUCCCUGUUGCUUGUGCACCUUUGCCUACCCAAUUUCUUCCUUCCAGUCAACUUUGCAUUUAAUAUGCUUUGACACAUCACUCUGUAAACAGCCACCCCAUUCAGUAAUGACCUUCUGUGACUUACUCUCUUUGUGGAGGGUGUCAAUGAUUGUCUCCUGGACCAUUGCCAAGUCAGCAGUCUUCCCCAUUAGUGUGGUUUCAAAGAACAAAAGAUACCCGGAAUUUAUACUGUAGGGAUGGUCAUUUAAUGAAACUCAAAUGUAAAUAUUCUAAUAUUUUGAGAUACUGGAUUUUGGACUUUCAUUAGCUGUACGCUCUAAUCAACAAAUUAAAAAAAAAAAAAACUUUUGAAAUGUUUUACUUUACAUGUAGGGAAUCUAGAAUAUAAAGUUUCAUUUUUUUAAAAUAAUUUACAAUAAAAAAAAUAACUUUUUCACAAUAUUCUAAUUAUAUGACCAGCACCUGUAUAAAUGAAACAGUUCUUAAAAACAAAAUACACAGUGAAUGUUAUGGUUGAAUUAUUCAUCAAAUAAAUUUAAAUUCAAUUCCAGCAGUCCAGUUAAUGUGUCAUUACUCAAGUGCUUGGCAAAACUGCACUGCAGCCAUGUAAAUGUCUAUCCCAUGGGACUGUGAUGGUGACCUAGGAUCCACUGUGUCCUUCAGUGCAGUAAAUUGCUCUGGUGUAAGUGGACAUUCUACAGUAGGGACAUUAACUCCAACCCUUUCAUCAGGAGGCAAUCCACUGCUUUCCCAAUCAAUAUCAGCAAAGUUCAGUUCCUGUGUAAACAAAACAACAUUACUCUACAAUCUCAGUUCCUAUAACAGUUCCAAAUACUACAUUUUUAUGGUUACUACAACACUAAUUGAGGUGUUUAAAUGCCAGUGAAUAAACAUUUGAAUACUCAUGACCUUUGUAAUGUCUCUAAAAAUGUAAACAUGGCUGUAAGUUUGCACGCACAUUAAUACCUCUUCAUUUUGUGGAUCAUCAACUGUAUAGUGAAUUUGACCCAAUUCCCAAAGCUGGUUCAGAGACAUGUUGUGUUCUGUUCCCAAAGGGUGAUUAUCCCACCCAUCUCUGAAAAUGUUUAGAUCAUUGUGUAGCCUUGGUAGGAAUGUAUAGUGGCAACAGAAGAGAUGCGUUUGGUCUGCAAUAUGAAGGUAGUUGGCUUUCUCAAGAUAGUGUAGCACAUCCCUCCACAGUCUAUUCUAUAACAAAGCAUCACAAAAAAAAAAAAAAAUCAUAUGCAAUUUGAUGGUUCAAACAAACAUUUGGAAAAUAAAGCACAAGGUUGCAUAGUAGAGAUAUGUCUGCAACGUAAUACCUUCUUUACAUACCUUUGGUUGUGGACACUUUUUCCUGAAAUGAAACUGCUUCUCCCUGUGCCACGAAUUGUGAACAUUAAACAUGCAAUGUCCACAUUCUCAACUCCAUGGUCCCCUCUGACCCUAUAAUAUUAAAGUUGGUCAAGGCAAUGUUUUAAUACUUAACCCAGUGCUCAUUUAUACAGCUUAAUUGAAUGUGUGUGUAUAUACACACACACACACACACACCUGUCAGUGGUCAUAACAUUAUGACCACUGACAGGUAAAAGUGAACAAUAAUGAUUAUCUAUUCAUCACAGGACCUGUUAAAGGGAUACUUCACCCAAAAGAGUCAUUUACUCACCCUCAAAUAUUUCCAAACCU